GUGUUUUAUAGCUGGAGCCUAAAGAUAUUAUUCAAGAAGAGGGUCCAGUUUUGGGACCACUGAUAGUGUUGGAAGUGCCUUGUGAGGCCUACCUGACUUCCCUGUUGACCUCCCCCCUUCACAACCUUCCCUCACCUGAUAUCAUCGUGCACAUCACCCCACAGAGCAUCAUUGACGACCCCAGAUACCAGACCUUCAUGAAACGCUACAACUGUCGUCACCUGAUUCUCAAUGAAGCUGCCGAGAUUAGUUACCUUCCUGAACUCCACAACGCAUGUGGCAUACGUAACUACAUUCACGGAGAUAUAUUCCCCCUACCUCGUGGGUACUCGUUCAUAAGACCGGAUAUAGCACAGGGCGCCAACACUGUAUAUGGUUGCUACCAUUUGAAUUACAUGAUGAGGCCGUAUAGUUUGAAGGGAUU